rnacentral:misc_RNA from 1 species
AACGCGCCUUCAAGAUAGAUCCCACAUAUUUAGUUCUAUCUCUGUGCAAGUGUCGGUGCUUCCCCGUCCCUUCGCCGUUGUCAUCACUCACUCGACCUCGGUGAUUCUCGUCAGCUUUUCUUCCUUUUGCUUUGCUAGACCUCAGCGUGAGUGUGCGUAGCAUCGCUGGUUGACAUCCUUGUUCUCCGCUCCCUCUUCCUUCAACUAAUCAACACGCACACUCGCAUAGCGACUUUGCUUCUGGAACGACCGCCGUCGCACACCCUCUGCCCCCCCCCCCCCCACACACACACACACGGACAUUGUGCUCCUAUGCCUCCACACACUGCGACAAGGAACUGAUCUUUUUUUUUCUGGGACUCAUAAUCACUGUCUCUCUCACGGAUUCGCCUGCGACGGGCGCACCUCUUCCUCCUUCAGCGCGGCACUUUCGACGCCUUUUUCUUUGUCGCUCAUCUUCUGUGUCUUGCUUCGUAGUAGGCAGGCUACAGCGGCCGCUUCGGAAUGGCCGCCGGCAACUCCAUCUCUGUAAAGGUGGAUGUGCCGUCCCAGGUGAAGGGCCAGGGCACUCUGGAGAUGUCGUACUACAUCUACCCCAUCACGAUGCGCUUGCCUGGCUUUAUGAGCGAUGCUCGGUUCAACCGGCGGUACACCGACUUUGAGACUCUGCGCGGCCAGCUGUGUGCGACCUACUGGUACUGCAUUGUGCCACCCAUUCCAGAGAAGGAGUCGGUGCAGGAUAAGCUGGGAAAGCUGCCACGCAUGGUGGCGUCGGCGAAGGAGACGACCGCCUCCGAGGGCGACCUGCUCGAGUACCGUCGUAUCAGCCUGCGGCGCUUCCUGCAGCGGCUUGCCUACCACCCCAUCCUGGGCAAGUCUGACCUUCUACAGAAGUUCACGAACGAUAACGAGUGGCGCCAGUGCACUCGCGACCCGGUGAAGCCGCCUCGCUUUAUCGUGUCGUCGUCGCUGGAGGAGAUCGCCAGAUCAUGGGCUCCGUCAAGCAGUGCCUCUGGCGCCGGUACUCAAGGUAGCGGUGGCGCUGCCGGGGGUGGUGGCGUUAGCCAAACCGGAGCGGCGUAUCAGUUGGCACUGACUCAAGAGCCAGUGGAUGAGGCGACGUGGAGGGCGACAAGCGAGUACAUUGGUGAGCUGGAGUCUAACCUCAAGAGCAUGCGCAACCUGCUGGAGGCACUCGUGGAUCGUCACCGGCGCGCCGCCUCCGCCGUGAGCAACUUCGCCGCCUCUUUUGGGCUGCUUGCGGAAGGCGAAGAGGAUGCCGAGCUGCGCGGCGCCAUCGAAGGGGUGCGCGACUGCGGUCGCAAAGUGGCAGAUGUCUACAGCAAACACGCUGACAACGAGUCGACGCGGCUUGUCAGCACGUUAAGCUUUUACGUGGGUAUGUGUGCCGCCGUGCGGGAGACUCUGAGCCACAUGUUCAGCGCCCGCCAGUAUCUGCGCAACUUGCAGAAGAAGGGCCAGGAACUGCAGGCGUCGGCGAUGCGGGCACAGUCGGCCAACCAGGUGCAGCUGCAGAGCGAGCUGCACUUCGUGAAUGAGCAGCGGGCCCACCUCGAGGAAGACCUCAUGGGCGCCGAGAAGACCUUCAGCGAGGAAUUUAUUCUCUUCCACGAAAACAAGCAAUAUGACGCCAAGGAUAUGCUGAAGAAGUUUGGCAUGCUGGAGCUCAGCUUCUCUGAGUCGAUGAAGCAGGAGUGGGACGCCCUGCGGCCAAUGUUGGAGUCCCUUGGCACAUAGGUCUGACGAGAGAAGGCGAGCCGGCGGAGACCCCUCCUAUCUUUCUGCUGAAAUAUAUAUUAUUAUUAUUCACGUUUCUCCCGUCAACAUGGUCGCUAUGGAGCCGUGGUCGUCCAUUCAUCUCUCCUCUUCGCGGCACUCCUAGCGCCAUGACGGUAGGGGUGAGGGGGACGGCACUUCUUACCUUCUUACCGCCCGUUCUCCUCGCCCGCGCAUGCCGACUGUAUAUAUAUAUAUAUUGGCUUGUGUGCUGUCCCGGCUUGCCGUCACCCUUUGGUGGCCGUGCGGCGUACUACCUUAUCACGCAUGUUUCUCCGUCUCUCUCUCUCUGAGUUCUCCUUUGCUUUGUUGUAGUUUUAUUUUCUGGAGGCGAUGGCCAUGGUCCAGUCCUCUGUGACGCUGGCAGCAGCAUCCAUCUUCGGUUACGCUGAGCUCCUCCCCACUGUUCUUGGAUUGUCGCUUCCUUCGUCUUCCGCCGCACUCGUGGUGGCCGCCUCUUGUUCUCUUGCGAAGACGACAGCGAUGGGGAGAAAGUCGCCGCGCAUGGUCUCAAGGCAUGUGAGUGAGUGUAGUUGUACAGGAAUGGGGAAUAUUGGUGGUGGUGGUGAUGGGGGUACGGAUGGAUGCCUAGUGGUAAGAAGUGGAGGGGCUCGGGGCUGACAUGGGCUUUCUUUCUUUUUUUUUUUUAUUCUCGCUAUGGUGCUGCUUCUCUUUCUUUUCCCUGCCCGAAAGCUUUCCGUGUUGUCGAUUCUCGUUUUGAAUGCUGAUCAGCCGAAAGAUAGUGCCCACACCCGUCCUGCAGCACAGCCGGUGCGUCCUCUCUUGUCUUCGUCUUCUGUGCAUGUCGUUUUUGUGUCUCUGUUUGCGCUUGUUUUUUCCCCGCUUUUGCACCCUCCCUCUCCAUCUCACGCCUUCCUGGAUCUCUGCUCGAUGUGAUUGUUUCUGUCGAAGAUGCGGCGACACUCUAGCGACGCGCUCCUGUCUCUUCUUAUUGUGGUUGCCUUUGCUCUCUCUCUCUUGCCCCUUCUCAGCGAUGGGUUUGACUGCCUUGUGAUGUUGCGUCGUCACAUGUGCGUAUGGUGCUGCUGGGUGUUGUUGUUCUUGCUUGCUCGCGUGGAUGUCUGUCUCCUGCGCGUCACCCUCGGUGACGUUCUUUCUCGUGUUCAUGUUGUUUAUGCGUCGUGCUUGCCCCUCUGACGCUCCCUGGUAGCGGAAGAGAGAAACGGAGCACCCAUGGACGGCACAGGAAACGAGGAAGCGAC